ensembl:lncRNA
GUGCUCCGGAAGCAGGCGAGGACGAGACAAAACCUACUUGUUUUUUAUGCAUCUGUAGACAGCUCACAAAAAAACCCCAUGGCCUUUUUGAACAAUGUGCACUUUUUGACCCUUACCUGGAAUGCAAACAUAUUUGAAACUGUAAUAAGUAACCAGAUAUAAGUGAGAAUUAUUUAUGAAUAUAAUUUAGUAUCGUGGUUCUGGGAUGUGGAACAUAAGAACUCUCUCUGUGAGAAGCAAACAAACACACGGAUCUACUGAGAGAAAACUCUGAAUCAGAGGAUUUAUUAAAGAGACAAGAGACACCGCCUCAACUGAUCUUCUGCUGGACAAUAGAGAAGGAGAGAUGGAAGGAGGAGGAGGAGGAGAGUGAAAGCACAGUGCUGAAUUGGGGGGGGGGGGGGGGGGGGGGGGGGGGGGGGGGGGUCCAAGCUGAGUCUCUACUGGAUAUGGAGGAUUCUGGUUUCUAAGGAAACCACAGCGCAGCGCCACAAAGUUCACAGAGCUGACGCUGUGCUUACUGGAAGCUACUCGCUGCAUUGGGAGGAUGUAACUGCCAUCAGAGGAGCGCAAAGAACAGGCCUACGGACGGAGGAUCAGAUGACCUCAUCGGACACGGCGUGCAGCUCUGUUACCACGGCAACGGGCUCAAUGGGAAGUGACCUGGAGCGGAGCGCAGGUUCGAGCCGACAGUUUUGAUGCGACCCGAUGAACAGAGCUAUUGAGGUCAAAGGGGAGCCUGCUGCUAGAGCUCCGUCGGCUGGACCUCUGCCUCUCACCUCCCCGUCAUGCAGCACUCCCAGAGACUGGACCAAAGACUACACACGCUCAGGGAGGAGGUCCGGACCAUGACCCACGACAAGGAGCGGGGGGAGCAGGUUUGGAGGGACCGACUGCAGCGCUGUCAGAGGCAGCUGAAGGCCAAAGAGGAGGAGAUGAGUCGUCAAUCGCUGUACUUUGAGAACUUCAAAACCCAACUCCAGCACAAGCUGAGCCUGGCCCGGGACCGAGAGCAGAGCCUGCAGAACCGGAUCUACACUCUAGAAAAGCAGCUGCUGGACGUGACUGUGAGAGCCGUCACCGACACCGCAUCGAUCGGGGCAGUCAGAAUUACUGCCGAGACUAUAACACGCUGGGAAGAACCAGAGCGGCUGCCUCCCACGAGAGGACAGGGGGAAGGGGAGGAGGAGAGGAAGGAGGAGAGGAAGAGGCAAUGGCAGCCAAGUGUGGGAUAUAAGAGGGGCGGAGGGCUAGGAGGUGACCAAGAGACACAAGGAGAACGGGUCAAAGAAGCACAGUCAAACGAAGCCAGGCUGCAAGGCUUCAUCCUGAGCCUGCAGCAGGAUCUCAAGGUGCUGCUGGAGAGAGAGGAAGGUGGGAUGACGGAGCGAAGGGGGCUGAUGGAGCAGCUCCAAGAGGUCCAGGAGAACAGCCACUUCCUGGACUGCAAGGUGGAGGACAUGAGAGCAGAGGUGCAGCGGCUGAAGCUGUCCGAGCAGUCCUUGAUGGAGGAGGUUGAAGAGCUGAAAGAGGAGAACCACAGACUCCAGCCAGAGUCGACGUGGUUGAGUCCUGGGUCAAACACUGUCUCUUAUGCCACCGCCACGGGACACUCCUCGGUCGGGAGCUUUGGAGAGGCACAUCUACCGUUGGAUGAGGGAGCAGGCCGGCCGCAUUCAUCCGCAGUUUCACCACUUCACCACCAGGAGGAAGCAGAGAGUCUACAGAACAACGCAGAGGAUCGUUCCCCAUCUGCCCCAUCAGAAUCUACUCCCCCUAAAGUCUUUUGCCCCCGUGUCCGGUCACUCUCUUUGACUACAGAGACACUAGAGGAGUUCAGAAUGGGGACAUGGUGCUGUAAAGGGGUUCUGAACCUGGAGAAAAGCCCCAGUGAGGAAUCGGAUGCCCUGAGGGAAGCCUACAGGAGCUUGGGGCUGGAGAAGGAGCUUGAAGCGCAUCAAGAACAACGUGUCAGCUUUGAGGUCGACAGGUUACAAGUCAGCAAAGAGGUACGAGAGUCAGAGAUGCAGCAGAGGUCUUCAAGAGAAAAGAUCUGCGCACCGUCCGCCGGUAAUGGAGCUGAAGAUGCCGCUGAUCUCCCCCUCGCCCAGGGGGAUCUGGUCUGGGCCCUGAAUCAGGAGAACCGGCUCUUGGCGGAGCGGAUUCAGGAGCUGGUCGCUCACAUUGAGCUCAGAGAAGAGGAGGUCAAGAGGGCGCAAACGCAGCUGAUGGAGCGCAUCUUCAAACUCGAGGGAAACCGAGUUAGGCUGGAGCGGGAGAGCCAGGAACAAGAGUGUCUGAUUACAGAACUCACCAAGAAAACCGAGGAUGAUCUCAACACCAUCAUGGAGCUGCAGCAAAGGUUAGAGGAGAGUGAACAGCGUCCGGAGGAAUCACAGGUUGCCAACACUCCGCGUGGAUCUCAACUACAAAGUGAGCCGACGGCUGCACUGUCGGGAAGUUUUCAAGAGCAGAACCUGGAAGAUUGUGUGGACAGUUUGGUGGAAUGUGUGCUUAAUGGGGAAGAGCCACAGGGGACGUCAGCUCAACAACUAUAUGACUCGACCGCUGCUUCAGCCCCCAGUUCUCCACGAGAUAAUCACUACGGUCCUCUGCAGAACAGCCUGCUAAUCAGUUUGCGCGUUAGUUCGUUGACUGAUCGAGAAAAGCAGCUCACCAGGUCGGUCCAGAGACUCAAAGCGGACGAAGAGGAACUGUCAGGUUGCAUAAAUGCUCUCAGAGAGCAGCAGAGAGAAGUAGCUCUGUCCGUCCAAACACAAACGGAAGACAAACAGCAGCUAACACGCACAGUUUGGGGACUGAAGGAGGAGAAAGACAGCGUCUCUCAAUCUCUGGCUGGUGUCAAACAAGAGAGAGAGCAGCUCACCAGGACCGUCUGUGGCCUGAGGGACGAGAGAGACCAGUUAAUAAGGUUUAUGAGGGGCCUGAAAGAGGAGAAAGAGUCUUUAUCGGGUCUCGAGAGAGAAAAAGAGAAACUGUUAGAAUCUCUUUCUAGUGGCAAAGAAGAGAGAGAUCAAAUCAUGCAGUCGCUACGCAGUUUACACACAGAGAGCGACCAGCUAAGCCAGUCGGUGCUGCAUCUGAGAGGCGAAAGAGAUGAGCUCACCAAUUCCCUCAAGUGUCUGAAGGAGCGGAGAGAAGAAAAAGAAAGUGUUGAACAUUCAAUCAGCUGUUUGAAACAGGAAGAAAAACAGAUAGAGCUUUUACUUCAGGGCCUUAGAGAGGAGAGAAACGUCCUCUCGCCGGCUCCGCCCGGCCGAACGCAGGCGGAGGGGAUCGAUCGCAGGCCACUGAAUCCAAACUGUGCCGUGGCCGCGGAGAAGUGCGCGAGUGUUGUUGGAACAGGAGCCACACGGAGACGUCCGGCUCACGGGCAAAGUUCUGCACAGGAGGAGCAAAGCGAUCUGAGGAGGGAGAUUGAAGCUUUGGGAGAAAAACUAAAGAGGUCACGGGACGAUCUGGACAAGAGCCGUGUAGAUACCGAGUUUCUUGGCUGUGAGUUGCGUCGCUCAGAAGCAGCGAGGGAGGAGGCGGAGAGAAAGGCCGCCGCGGCAAAGGAGGAGCUGGUAAGGGGGAAGGACAAAGCUCAUCAAAUGGAAGAAACCAGAGAGGAAAAUGACAGCCUCACCACCCAGGUGGAGGAGCUGCAGAGGAAGGUGGGCGUCCUGAUCACUGAGAAGACUGCUGCUCUGGCUCUAAAGGCCCAAGAAAAGGAGCAAUACAACGUCCUCACAGCGGAGCUCAAAGCCAAGACGGUGGCCCUAGAGGAGCUGAACUCUGAGUACAUUGCCCUAAAAAGAAGCCAUGACAGUAAGGAUGAUGCGAGCGAUGUUCUCGUCUCACUCAGGACCCGUUAUAAGGACAUCAGGGCCAAGUAUGACGCACUGAAGAAGAAGAGCCAGAGUGAUGUGGAAGUAGCUCCGUUAAAGGCCAAGCUGUCUUGCCUGGUGGAGAAGUGUCAGGAGAGGAACAGCUUGCUGGUUCAGAUGAUGAGGGCAAUGCGCAGACACGACUGCGUGGACUCCGCGCUCGCCCAUCAGGUCGAGCGGCUGCUCAGAGACGCCGCUCUGCAAAACUACACCGCGGCGUUCACGCCAAGCAGCCGCCUGAAAACCCAGGAUUACGCCGGUGGGUUGACGGCGGGAUUUGUUUCCAAAUUCGAAGACUACGCCGGUGGAUCGACGACUGAUCAGACGUGCUCUACUGCAUCCGCACAUGUGCAGCAGCAACGCAAAAACGGAUUCAAAGCUGAAUCCGGAGUCCGAAGUGAAAAACCCAGAUCUUUAGUCUCCACUGAAGCAGAUGGGGGAGACCGGCAACCAGAGAAAUCUGGACCGCAUCACUCGGAUACAGAAGAGACGUCCUCCCUGGACCCGACCGGUUCCACUGGAUCCCCAGUGAGUCCGACUCCUCCCUCCUCCGGCGCACGCUACAGUCCCAGCAGGAGGCUGAGUAGUCCCGAGAAGAUCAUGAACAUGUAUGAGCAACUGCAGCAGACUCUGAUGAGCAGCUAUCAGUCUCCAGAGAGCAGAGGAAGGGGACGGCAGCCCGGGAAAAGUCUCUCGUUUCCAUCUUCGGCAGACCUUCACUCUGCCCCUGACACCACGAAGCAGAGCUUCUGUUCCAACGUGCCGCCUCCCGACUCCCUCCCGCUCAGCGCUGCUCUGAGCCCAGCUAAGCACACAAAUAGGUCAACGACGCUCUUUGACGCAGUCGCCUCCCGAUCCGCCAACAUUACAUCAAGUCCCAACAUGUUUGCCUGCUGUCCCUUUAAAACCACAUCGUCUGCUGUAUCUGGCUCCUCUGACCUUCCUUUUUCCACGAAAGACAAGUCCAUCCUGAGCCGUGGCACGGAUAUAAAAUCACCAGAACCGGCAAAGAAAACGCCUGCUAUCCCGGCUGAAUCCGACCCGAGACGCACGGGUUCUACUCCUUUAACUCCGAGGACCGCCACCGUUGACUCCGAUGUCUUGACGUGUCCGAAAACCACAGCCUCAGACACAACUGCCCCGAGCUCGCCGACUGCCCCUCAGGCGAAUCCUUUCCUCACGCCUUCUAUAACGGAUGGUGCUACGCCCGCCCGCCAUGGACUCGUAUUGGCUGCAUCCUGCGCUCGCCCUGCUCGUUGCUCUCCCGAGAGGUCCAGCAAGCCUGGCAGAAAAUCCACUGCUGCUCUGGGAAGACCCACACCAGAAGCUCCAGCUGAGGUUCAAUCUGUUGAGGUUAUCAAAACAGUGGGCCAGGGCAGCCUGAUGAUCGGUUGGGAAAGGCCGCCUCUCGACGAGCUGGGCUGCAGUAACGGCACGUUUGUGUACGGAUAUCGGGUGUUUGUGGAUGGAGACUUCCACAAAUCUGUCAUGAGCUCAGCGUGCACCAAGGUAUCAGGCUCUUCAAAAGCUCUCAUCGCCCGUAAAACCAAAGUGAACCACAGCGGUUCAUGUUGCAUUUCGGUUUCCUCAGUGUGUUCUGGAGAACGUCAACCUGCGCGGCCCGGUUCACGUCAGCGUCCAGACGCUGGGAUCCAACGGACUCAGCUCGGACUUUGUCCACACCACGCACGUGACUUCGGUCAAGAACAGUCUGAGUCUCUGCGUCUGACUGACUGCAGCGAGCGCAACUGGAUGGCUGCAGCCGCUCAGUGGAAACCUUCGAGUUUGAAAGCCAUCUAUAGCCUGCAGCUCUCUGAGGGGCCGUCCUGA